rnacentral:rRNA from 1 species
UACGUAGGGUGCGAGCGUUAAUCGGAAUUACUGGGCGUAAAGCGUGCGCAGGCGGUUCGUUGUGUCGGCGGUGAAAGCCCCGGGCUUAACCUGGGAAUGGCCGUCGAAACUGGCGAACUGGAGUGUGGCAGAGGGGGGUGGAAUUCCGCGUGUAGCAGUGAAAUGCGUAGAGAUGCGGAGGAACACCGAUGGCGAAGGCAGCCCCCUGGGCAGUGGCUGACGCUGAGGCGCGACAGCGUGGGGAGCAAACAGG